AGGAGUUCAGGAAGGAGACGAUCUCGGCGGGCUUGGGAAGCUCGCCGCCUUGUUCCUUCUCGGUGCUCUCCGAGAACUCCUC
rnacentral:tRNA from 1 species